UCUUAUUGAUGAGCAAAGAAAGUGGUUUCUUGAGAUGGAAUCUACUCCUGGUGAAGAUGCUGUGAA
rnacentral:pre_miRNA from 2 species